rnacentral:tRNA from 1 species
GGGGGUGCAGCUCAGUGGUAGAGCGCUUCCCUAGCAUGUGCAAGGACUUGGGUUUGAUCCCAGCCCCACGCCCCCA